rnacentral:rRNA from 1 species
UGGGGAAUAUUGCACAAUGGGCGCAAGCCUGAUGCAGCCAUGCCGCGUGUGUGAAGAAGGCCUUCGGGUUGUAAAGCACUUUCAGCGAGGAGGAAGGCAGUCGUGUUAAUAGCACGGUUGAUUGACGUUACUCGCAGAAGAAGCACCGGCUAACUCCGUGCCAGCAGCCGCGGUAAUACGGAGGGUGCAAGCGUUAAUCGGAAUUACUGGGCGUAAAGCGCACGCAGGCGGUUUGUUAAGUCAGAUGUGAAAUCCCCGCGCUUAACGUGGGAACUGCAUUUGAAACUGGCAAGCUAGAGUCUUGUAGAGGGGGGUAGAAUUCCAGGUGUAGCGGUGAAAUGCGUAGAGAUCUGGAGGAAUACCGGUGGCGAAGGCGGCCCCCCUGGACAAAGACUGACGCUCAGGUGCGAAAGCGUGGGGAGCAAAACAGGAUUAGAUACCCUGGUAGUCCACGCUGUAAACGAUGUCGACUUGGAGGUUGUGCCCUUGAGGCGUGGCUUCCGGAGCUAACGCGUUAAGUCGACCGCCUGGGGGAGUACGGCCGCAAGGUUAAA